rnacentral:misc_RNA from 1 species
CCAAAAGAGCGAGAAAUCGUUUCUUACUGCCUGCUCGGUGGCCCCCCGGGCCGCUGACUGGUCAACCCUUUGUGAACCAAAAAACCUUUUCGCUUCGGCAGCUGGGCCUGACCGCCUGUCAGCCUGCCGCUAGCACCCAACCAAAAAACCUGUUGUCAAAACAUUGUCUGAUAACCAAAAUUUUCGAAUGAAAAUCA